UAAAACAUAAUCUCUUCAUUUCAAUCUCUCUUCCUGAAACCUCUCUCAUCAGUUUCCUCUCUUCCCGUCAAACCACCUCUCUUCCUCCAUUUCUUCUCUUUGUUAAACCCUUUCCUCUCUUCCACCGUUUCAAUCACGCUUCCUUUCUUCAUCUACGAGUUUCCUCCAUCAAACCCUAAUCUUCUCUGUUUCUCCCUAAAUUUUCUCUGAAAAAAUUCCUAAUUUUUUUCAUCCCAAAAAAUUGUUCGAUUCUUCUUCAUCUUCGCCAUCAUGUGCCGUCUUGUUUUGAUAACCCCACCAUUGAUUCGCCACCUUUAGCCAUCGAUACACCACCUUCUUCAUUUGUGUCUUCGAUUCACCACCUUCUUCAUCUGUGCCAUCGAUUCUCCCUUGUCAGCCAUCGUAGGAGGCGCCACCGUGACCGAGGAGCUUAUUCGAGGUUUCAAGUUUUCCCGUUGCAGUUACCUCCAAAGCCUUUUUCCGGCCAGAAGUUAUCAGUGAACUCGAUCUGGCAAAGCACAGAUUGAAGCUUCUGAAGAGAAAUCCUUCGUCGUUUUCGCCUUGUCUGGAUGGUUCAAGAUAUUACAGCUUUGGGUUUGUCAUUUAUGGUUCUCUCUUUUCUUUUAUUGUACAUGAAUUUGUUUUUCUUAAUUUCAUUUAUAUUCUUGUCUCUACAAGUUCUAAUCAGGACAUUAUGGGGUAUUAUUCUUCAUGGUUUGAAAGUGAACAGUGUACAUUCAGAUGGAGAUAUGUGAUCAUAAUUUAUCCAAAUUCAAAGACUCUGAGUUAUUAUCAUAAGGACAACUCUUAGAAGUUUUAUAUCAGUUUCAGGUAAGAUUGGCUGAUGAUGCUAUAUUGCAAGAUGCGAGUGUUGAACGGAAGGAGAAAGUCUCAGCUUAAACUGCUGAUCGGAAACUUAAAAGUAUCUAUGUUUUAAUCUUUUAAGUCACCCUCCUUGAAAAUUAUUCAUUGUUUUUAUAUAUGAAAGGAAUGCAUGUUUAUCUAAUCAUCAUUUUAAUAUAUGAAAGGAAUCUGUAAGUUUCGUAGUUUUCUCUGCAAAAAGACGUUACCUUGGUAGAAACUAAGAGAAACAUAUCUGAUUGGCACAUAUGAUUGUGAAUUCUUCUAAACUUGGGAGCCUUUAUUGUGAAAGACUUGUCUUUUCUGUGUCAUAUAGAGUCUGGACCUGAUGAGAGAAGUACCCCUGGUAAUACUGUUUCUAUCCAAGCAGACAUGCCAAUUAGCGGACUUACGACUUUUGUAGGUUGUUCCACAUAUCACAGAUGCCAUCCAAGAGUGGAUAGAGCGUGUAGCGAAAACUGCGGUUUAUGGAAAAGAAGAAUUGAGUGGUAUAUAAGAUAUAGUAUUAGUGUAAAGGUGCAUUGAAACAUUUAAAUUCUACUAUUCUUAACACCAUUUUAUUUUAUAAUGAUAUUAUCAACUACGUGCAAAUCUUGGUAUCUUUUAUGAACAUCCUAAAUUGCAAUUCUAUUUCACAAUCUGUCUUUUGUAUAAGGCUUUUUUCCAUGUGCCCUUCAAAGAAUAACUUAAGGUUUGUUCAUGUCUUAUCUCCAUCUUUGUAUUCUUAUCUCCAUUUCACUUUAUAUCUCCCUGUAUAUUUUUUAUCUACGAGUAAUAUUCUUGAUCUGCAGUUUGCUAGGAAGUGGAACCAUUUAAUUGAUGUUGCGCUUCUUGAGGAGUAACUCCAUCAGAUGCUUCGAGAGUGGAUAGCCAAGAUCAAUCUCUUUUGCAAAGGCAUAUGGAAAAGACGCUCGCAUCCAUGAAUGUGAAAUAUCAGAAGAAAGUGGUAACAUUCAAGUCAGAUCCACUAAGUUUAUUCAAUUUUUAAAAUCAUAUUAUGUGUUUGUGGAAAUUUUUAGUGAGUUUUAUUAUUGUUAUCAUUAUUGCAUAAGGACACAUUUUUGGUGGCAAGAUAGCUCUAUAAAUUUAUAAAAUCUGAAGUUUGAACAGAGCAAUCCAUUUUCUGUUUGUGAUAAUUACCUUUUAACUCAUCUAUCAUGAAAAGAUACACUUGUUUUUUUUUGCUGUAGCAUGAUAAAGUUUUAUGUAGAGAUUGAAGCUCACACUUGGAGGCAAUGGUUUUCUCUUGGCACUACCUUCCUAUUUUAGAUCUAGUUUAUUUUAUAUGAAUAGUUAUAGUAUUUUGUGUGAUAAUGGAAGCAUAUAUGUUUUAUCACUGUCCUUAUGAUUAUUCUUUACUUAUUUUUUCUUGCUUUCAAAUUUAAUCACUUCUCAUAGUUAACUUCUUUUUUUGUUAAUUGCAUAAAUAAAUGGCUCAAUAACAAAUAACAUUUGUUAAUUCUGGCAACGAAAGUAAGUAAAUCUUUAUCUACCAUAAGGUGCAUUUUUAUUUCUAGUUGACUCACAUGAUCUAUUAGUAACUAGAGAAGAGAAGACAGCUAUGGAAACUUGUUGGUUGGUAGGUAGAAAAUUGAUUUUGUUAUUUUAUGUUUCUUAUAAAUAACAUAUAUUUUGUUCUAAACUUGAGUGGUAAAGGAUUUUGGUUUGUUUAGAACUUGUUCAUUUUCUUUUGUUUGUUUAGAACUUGUUCAUUUUCUUUUUCUUUUUUAGAACUUGUUUAUCAUCAUUAUAUUAUAGUUUGACUAUUGUCUUGUUGUUUAUGUAGGCAAAUCUUGUUUACAAUAUGAAAAUUUUCCAAGAAUUGUAUUACUUGAUUUUUCAUUUUUGAUGACAGGUAUUGCAAGAAUGAGUUGGAAGAAGGAUGGACAAUUGCAUGAAUUAGUUGGAAAAAUAUGGACAAAACACUAUCUCACAAUAGGACUGAUUUCAAUUUUGAAUAAGUCGUAAUAAUAUUAUAGAUUUGAAUAUUUCUAAAUAUUAUAAUAGUUAAUUUUAUUUAAUAUGAUAGUUGAGUGAUAAUUAACUACAAAUUUUAAAAUGUGAAUGAUUUUAGUGUGGGCCAGUAAAAUAAAUAAAUUUUCAUAGAUUUUUUGGGCUUAAAAUCAAAUUGAACUAGUAACUUGUUAACCGAAAAAAACUGAUACUGUUAAUCGAACCAUUCUAAUCCGAACUCGAAAAAAUCGAUAAAAAAACCGGUCAGAAUUUGGGCCCAACCAUCUCACCCGUGGAUUGGUUCGGUUCUGUAGUUUGGGCCCGAAUUCGAACCGAACCGAACCGUUGUCCACCCCUAGUGGCUAUAUCUUGAACCAAAACUGUAUGUUAAACGUUAAAUUGAAACAGUGGCUUUACCAUAUGGCCAUAUGGCCACAGUUCUGUAAUCGUGACAAAUAUAAACCGUGGCCUUAAUCAAACUACCUAAACCGUGGCCUAUAAAAGCCACGGUUGUUAAAAAAGCGUGGUAUAUACCAAAAAACCGUGGACUAUACUUUAGGCCACGGCCGCAUAUCCCACAGUUGGAUUUUCGUGGCCAAACCGUGGCCUCAGCGUUACGCCAUAGUUAUUUUGCAUAUAGCCUCAGUUUCUUGGGCGUGGCAGGAGACUUUUUUUUUGUAGUGGUUGAGGUGAAUAUUGACUCAAAGGAGGUGGUCAUCGCCAUUGAAGAAGGGACAACAUGAGUCGUUGAGUGUGUCGCUAUCCUUCGUAAGAUUAAGGAUAUCAUGGGUCUUCAUGAGAUCGUUGUCAUUUCACAUGCUUAUAAAUCCACUAAUAUGUGUGCGGAUGCUCUUUCUAAGUGCAGCUAUAGUGAUAAGACUUUCACCGUUCAUAAGGAGGCGCCUAUUUUCUUAAGACC